rnacentral:rRNA from 1 species
UACGUAGGCAGCAGGCGUUGUUCGGAUUUACUGGGCGUAAAGCGUCCGCAGGUGGCAGUUCAAGUCUGCUGUCAAAGACCGGGGCUUAACUUCGGAAAGGCAGUGGAAACUGAACAGCUAGAGUAUGGUAGGGGCAGAGGGAAUUCCUGGUGUAGCGGUGAAAUGCGUAGAGAUCAGGAAGAACAUCGGUGGCGAAGGCGCUCUGCUGGACCAUAACUGACACUCAGGGACGAAAGCUAGGGGAGCGAAUGGG